rnacentral:snoRNA from 1 species
CCCAGCUGUAGGUAAUUGCCAGGGUUGCCUUGUAUCUAGGCAAGUGUUACAUUGCUGGGAGAAAAGCAGCCAAUAGUUGGUGGACAUU